UUCCAGACUCCUACGGGAGGCAGCAGUGGGGAAUCUUCCGCAAUGGGCGAAAGCCUGACGGAGCAACGCCGCGUGAUCGAAUGAAGGCCUUCGGGUUGUAAAGAUCUGUUGACAGGGACGAAUAAGCAAUGCGAAUAGUUUUGUGUAUGACGGUACCUGUUUAGAAAGCUCCGGCUAACUACGUGCCAGCAGCCGCGGUAAUACGUAGGGAGCAAGCGUUGUCCGGAAUUACUGGGCGUAAAGGGCGCGUAGGUGGGCGCUUAAGUCAGGUGUGAAAACUCCGGGCUCAACCUGGAGGCUGCACUUGAAACUGGGUGUCUUGAGGGCAGGAGAGGAAAGUGGAAUUCCUAGUGUAGCGGUGAAAUGCGUAGAUAUCAGGAGGAACACCGGUGGCGAAGGCGGCCUGCUGGACUGCAACUGACGUCGAGGCCCGAAAGCGUGGGGAGCAAACAGGAUUAGAUCCCCCCGUA
rnacentral:rRNA from 1 species